AUUGAACGCUGGCGGCAUGCUUUACACAUGCAAGUCGAACGGUAACAGGCCGCAAGGUGCUGACGAGUGGCGAACGGGUGAGUAAUGCAUCGGAACGUGCCCAGUCGUGGGGGAUAACUACUCGAAAGAGUAGCUAAUACCGCAUACGAUCUAUGGAUGAAAGCGGGUGACCGUAAGGCCUCGCGCGAUUGGAGCGGCCGAUGUCAGAUUAGGUAGUUGGUGGGGUAAAGGCUCACCAAGCCAACGAUCUGUAGCUGGUCUGAGAGGACGACCAGCCACACUGGGACUGAGACACGGCCCAGACUCCUACGGGAGGCAGCAGUGGGGAAUUUUGGACAAUGGGCGCAAGCCUGAUCCAGCAAUGCCGCGUGCAGGAAGAAGGCCUUCGGGUUGUAAACUGCUUUUGUACGGAACGAAACGGCUCUGGUUAAUACCCGGGGCUAAUGACGGUACCGUAAGAAUAAGCACCGGCUAACUACGUG
rnacentral:rRNA from 1 species